rnacentral:rRNA from 1 species
CCUACGGGAGGCAGCAGUGGGGGAUAUUGCACAAUGGGGGGAACCCUGAUGCAGCGACGCCGCGUGAGUGAAGAAGCGCCUCGGCGCGUAAAGCUCUGUCAGCAGGGAAGAAGAUGACGGUACCUGACCAAGAAGCCCCGGCUAACUACGUGCCAGCAGCCGCGGUAAUACGUAGGGGGCAAGCGUUAUCCGGAUUUACUGGGUGUAAAGGGGGCGCAGACGGCGCGGCAAGUCCGGAGUGAAAUCCCAGGGCCCAACCCUGGGGCUGCUCUGGAAACUGCCGGGCUGGAGUGCUGGAGGGGCAGGCGGAAUUCCUAGUGUAGCGGUGAAAUGCGUAGAUAUUAGGAGGAACACCGGUGGCGAAGGCGGCCUGCUGGACAGCGACUGACGUUGAGGCCCGAAAGCGUGGGGAGCAAACAGGAUUAGAUACCCCUGUAG